rnacentral:rRNA from 1 species
UACGUAGGUGGCAAGCGUUGUCCGGAUUUACUGGGCGUAAAGGAUGCGUAGGCGGACAUUUAAGUCAGAUGUGAAAUACCCGAGCUUAACUUGGGUGCUGCAUUUGAAACCGGGUGUCUAGAGUGCAGGAGAGGUAAGUGGAAUUCCUAGUGUAGCGGUGAAAUGCGUAGAGAUUAGGAAGAACACCAGUGGCGAAGGCGACUUACUGGACUGUAACUGACGCUGAGGCAUGAAAGCGUGGGGAGCAAACAGG